ensembl:snoRNA SNORA70 Small nucleolar RNA SNORA70
UUACUCUAAUUAAGCUGACCAACUUCCUUAUUUCAUGGGUGCCUGGUGUGCAAUGGCUGCAAACAGCAGUCUCCUUGGUAGUGUACGCAACCUGUUGCUUGUAUGGGUUGCCCGAAGGAACUUUGCAGAUAGUU